rnacentral:rRNA from 1 species
CAUGAAAGCGUGGGGAGCAAAUAGGAUUAGAUACCCUAGUAGUCCACGCCGUAAACGAUGAGGACCAAGUGUUGGGGGUGAAACCUCAGUGCUGAAGUUAACGCAGUGAGUCCUCCGCCUGGGGAGUAUGCACGCAAGUGUGAAACUCAAAGGAAUUGACGGGGGCCCGCACAAGCGGUGGAGUAUGUGGUUUAAUUUGAAGCAACGCGAAGAACCUUACCAGGCCUUGACAUGGGAUGCGAAGACGCAGAGAUGCGUUGGAGGUCAACAUCCACACAGGUGGUGCAUGGUUGUCGUCAGCUCGUGUCGUGAGAUGUUGGGUCAAGUCCCGCAACGAGCGCAACCCUUGUGGCAUGUUGCUAACAGGAAAGCUGAGGACUCAUGCCAGACUGCCGGUGACAAACCGGAGGAAGGCGGGGAUGACGUCAAAUCAUCAUGCCCCUUAUGGCCUGGGCUACACACGUACUACAAUGGCGGCUACAAAGAGCGGCGAGACAGUAAUGUCGAGCGAAUCUCAUAAAAGCCGUCCCAGUUCGGAUUGGAGCCUGCAACCCGGCUCCAUGAAGUUGGAAUCGCUAGUAAUCGCGGAUCAGCAUGCCGCGGUGAAUACGUUCCCGGGCCUUGCACUCACCGCCCGUCAAG